UAAGUAAUACGUUACAAAAGCAACAACGUAGAGGCACAUCGAAUAAUCAUAACCUAUCUGCGUUCAAAAAAAAAAUUAAUAACGAAACCAAACGGUAUAGCCUAAAAUUAAGACGACAUUUUGUUUCGAGAUUGAUUCACAUAUAAACUCUAGUUAAACAUGUAAUACGGGGUACGGAGUUCUAUUUCGACCGUUUGGCUAAAGUUCCGUACGGCGGUUAUUUUUUCCACCGCUCGCUUUGGCAUUUCGAGUGCAUGUAGAGUGGAGAAGGCAGAGGUUGUGGAAGGCAUGAAAAGGACACAAGGUGCACGCCGAGACGAUAAAGGAACUGUACGACCCGGGAGGCCCCCCUUUUUGGUAUGCGUCUCCUUUGUUCACGAGUUCCAUCGAUGUCUGCAAUGGCGUCAAGAAUGGCUCUCAAGUGUGCAUUUUGUCUUGUUUAAAAAACACUGAGCAUUUAUAUUGCAAAAAAAUACUUACAUGCAUUAUUAGUAUCUAAUAAUUUUGUAAUAACAAAUUAAAAUAGGUUUCGAUUCGUUUU